AGUCAGACACGAGUAAACAUCGGACCUGCGUUUUCAGAACGGCGAGAACUGAGACAAACAGAAGCCUGCAAAUCCGAUGCUGACCUGGCGUUCUUGCUGUUGCACUCCUUGUCAGUUAAAGCCUUGGCUGCCACCAAGGGAAUUGAAGGGUCUAGGAUGUGUGUGGAGCAGUGGAGGGAGGGUAACAGACAGAGGGAAAUUGAGAUGAAGAGAAAGACAGAGAGGAAGAGUCACGGGUGGGUGAAUAAUGAGUGAUAUGGAGAUGAUGACAAACAACACAUCCACUAAAUGCAAAGAUGGGAAACUGAAGCUAUUUAUUCCUGAAUUUCCAUCAAGUGCACUCUUUUGAAGAUAUGAGAUUUCUGCGGGGCACUGACGAUAUUCAAAUCAACAGUUUCUAUGUGUGUUCCAUGAAAAAAAAAAAAAAAAA